UACGAAGGGGGGUAGCGUUGCUCGGAAUCACUGGGCGUAAAGCGCACGUAGGCGGAUUGUUAAGUCAGGGGUGAAAUCCUGGAGCUCAACUCCAGAACUGCCUUUGAUACUGGCGAUCUUGAGUCCGGGAGAGGUGAGUGGAAUUGCGAGUGUAGAGGUGAAAUUCAUAGAUAUUCGCAAGAACACCAGUGGCGAAGGCGGCUCACUGGCCCGGUACUGACGCUGAGGUGCGAAAGCGUGGGGAGCAAACAGG
rnacentral:rRNA from 1 species